AACGAACGCUGGCGGCAUGCCUAACACAUGCAAGUCGAACGAGACCUUCGGGUCUAGUGGCGCACGGGUGCGUAACGCGUGGGAACCUGCCCUUAGGUUCGGAAUAACUCCCCGAAAGGGGUGCUAAUACCGGAUAAUGUCUUCGGACCAAAGAUUUAUCGCCUUUGGAUGGGCCCGCGUUGGAUUAGCUAGUUGGUAGGGUAAAAGCCUACCAAGGCGACGAUCAAUAGCUGGUCUGGGAGGAUGAUCAGCCACACUGGGACUGAGACACGGCCCAGACACCGGAGGAGGGGCGAAGGGGGGAAUAUGGGACAAGGGGGGAGGGCAGAAGGAAAUAAGGCCGGGGAGGAGAUGAAGGCGGGAGGGAGGAAAAGCUGUUUACCCCGGGAUGAUAAGAAGAGUCCAGGAGAAUAAGACCCGGCUAACUUCGUG
rnacentral:rRNA from 1 species